GCCCUGGUGGCACAGUGGAUAGCGCGGUCCCCUCCUAAGGGACAGGUCACAGGUUCGACUCCUGUCUAGGGCACCA
rnacentral:tRNA from 1 species